UCCGGUUUAACACCGGCAGUCUCCCUAGAGUGCCCAACUGAAUGGUGGCAACUAGGGACAAGGGUUGCGCUCGUUAAGGGACUUAACCCGACAUCUCACGGCACGAGCUGACGACAGCCAUGCACCACCUGUGCAGGCUCCGUAGAGCGCCGGCUUUCACCGGCUUUACCCUGCAUGUCAAGCCCAGGUAAGGUUCUGCGCGUUGCAUCGAAUUAAACCACAUGCUCCGCUGCUUGUGCGGGGCCCCGUCAAUUCCUUUGAGUUUUAGCCUUGCGGCCGUAGUCCCCAGGCGGCGGACUUAAUGCGUUAGCUGCGGCGCCGAGGGGGUCGAUACCCCCGACACCUAGUCCGCAUCGUUUACGGCGUGGACUAC
rnacentral:misc_RNA from 1 species